GACGAACCGAGCGAACGUUGUUCGGAAUCACUGGGCGUAAAGGGCGCGUAGGCGGACAGUUAAGUCAGAGGUGAAAGCCCAGGGCUCAACCCUGGAAUAGCCUUUGAUACUGGCUGUCUUGAGUGCGGGAGAGGUGUGUGGAACUCCGAGUGUAGAGGUGAAAUUCGUAGAUAUUCGGAAGAACACCAGUGGCGAAGGCGACACACUGGCCCCGUAACUGACGCUGAGGCGCGAAAGCGUGGGGAGCAAACAGGG
rnacentral:rRNA from 1 species